CAACAUCAAUAGGGGUGCCUUGUUCCAAGAACACGAAUAAAGGCUGAGAAUAUACCCAACAAUACCAUGUGUAUUGUGCACCUGAUCCAGAUAAUGCUGGCGGAGGGAAAAGGUUAGUUAAAUAU
rnacentral:ncRNA from 1 species